rnacentral:rRNA from 1 species
GUGCCAGCAGCCGCGGUAAUACGUAGGUGGCAAGCGUUAUCCGGAAUUAUUGGGCGUAAAGCGCGCGCAGGUGGUUUCUUAAGUCUGAUGUGAAAGCCCACGGCUCAACCGUGGAGGGUCAUUGGAAACUGGGAGACUUGAGUGCAGAAGAGGAAAGUGGAAUUCCAUGUGUAGCGGUGAAAUGCGUAGAGAUAUGGAGGAACACCAGUGGCGAAGGCGACUUUCUGGUCUGCAACUGACACUGAGGCGCGAAAGCGUGGGGAGCAAACAGGAUUAGAUACCCUGGUAGUCC